AUGAACGCUAGCUACAGGCUUAACACAUGCAAGUCGAGGGGCAGCAUCAUCAAAGCUUGCUUUGAUGGAUGGCGACCGGCGCACGGGUGAGUAACACGUAUCCAACCUGCCGACAACACUGGGAUAGCCUUUCGAAAGAAAGAUUAAUACCGGAUGGCAUAGUUUUCCCGCAUGGGAUAAUUAUUAAAGAAUUUCGGUUGUCGAUGGGGAUGCGUUCCAUUAGGCAGUUGGCGGGGUAACGGCCCACCAAACCUACGAUGGAUAGGGGUUCUGAGAGGAAGGUCCCCCACAUUGGAACUGAGACACGGUCCAAACUCCUACGGGAGGCAGCAGUGAGGAAUAUUGGUCAAUGGACGAGAGUCUGAACCAGCCAAGUAGCGUGAAGGAUGACUGCCCUAUGGGUUGUAAACUUCUUUUAUACGGGAAUAAAGUUAGCCACGUGUGGCUUUUUGUAUGUACCGUAUGAAUAAGGAUCGGCUAACUCCGUGCCAGCAGCCGCGGUAAUACGGAGGAUCCGAGCGUUAUCCGGAUUUAUUGGGUUUAAAGGGAGCGUAGGCGGGUUGUUAAGUCAGUUGUGAAAGUUUGCGGCUCAACCGUAAAAUUGCAGUUGAUACUGGCGACCUUGAGUGCAACAGAGGUAGGCGGAAUUCGUGGUGUAGCGGUGAAAUGCUUAGAUAUCACGAAGAACUCCGAUUGCGAAGGCAGCUUACUGGAUUGUAACUGACGCUGAUGCUCGAAAGUGUGGGUAUCAAACAGGAUUAGAUACCCUGGUAGUCCACACAGUAAACGAUGAAUACUCGCUGUUGGCGAUAUACAGUCAGCGGCCAAGCGAAAGCAUUAAGUAUUCCACCUGGGGAGUACGCCGGCAACGGUGAAACUCAAAGGAAUUGACGGGGGCCCGCACAAGCGGAGGAACAUGUGGUUUAAUUCGAUGAUACGCGAGGAACCUUACCCGGGCUUAAAUUGCAACUGACUGAACCGGAAACGGUUCUUUCUUCGGACAGUUGUGAAGGUGCUGCAUGGUUGUCGUCAGCUCGUGCCGUGAGGUGUCGGCUUAAGUGCCAUAACGAGCGCAACCCUUACGGGUAGUUACCAUCAGGUUAUGCUGGGGACUCUACCCGGACUGCCGUCGUAAGAUGUGAGGAAGGUGGGGAUGACGUCAAAUCAGCACGGCCCUUACGUCCGGGGCUACACACGUGUUACAAUGGGGGGUACAGAAGGCAGCUACACGGCGACGUGGUGCUAAUCCCGAAAGCCUCUCUCAGUUCGGAUUGGAGUCUGCAACCCGACUCCAUGAAGCUGGAUUCGCUAGUAAUCGCGCAUCAGCCACGGCGCGGUGAAUACGUUCCCGGGCCUUGUACACACCGCCCGUCAAGCCAUGAAAGCCGGGGGUACCUGAAGUACGUAACCGCGAGGAGCGUCCUAGGGUAAAACUGGUGAUUGGGGCU
rnacentral:rRNA from 1 species